rnacentral:rRNA from 1 species
UACGAAGGGGGCUAGCGUUGUUCGGAAUUACUGGGCGUAAAGCGCACGUAGGCGGAUAUUUAAGUCCGGGGUGAAAUCCCAGAGCUCAACUCUGGAACUGCCUUUGAUACUGGGUAUCUUGAGUAUGGAAGAGGUAAGUGGAAUUGCGAGUGUAGAGGUGAAAUUCGUAGAUAUUCGCAGGAACACCAGUGGCGAAGGCGGCAUACUGGACCAGAACUGACGCUGAGGUGCGAAAGCGUGGGGAGCAAACAGG